UAUAAAUAUUCACAGUAACAAGACCAAAUCUUUGCAAGGAUAUUCAAGAGAAUAAUUUAGAAAGAUAAAUAUUUGGUGUCCAGGUAAAUGAAGAGUCGAUAAAGGAGGCAACAAGUUUUUUUUGUGAUGAUGUUGGUAUUGUGUGGUGAUGGUGGUGACUGACAACACUCAGUGUAAACAAACCUCUCUUGAUCAUCACUUCCACCUCUCUCUGAUGUUGUCCUUGCUUUAAAUCCAGAAAGAUGGCUGGAACAUGUCCACUCUCUAGCAAUCUGGUCACACAGUCUAUAAAUUUUCAUGGCCACCAACUUCUGAAGCAACUUACAGCCUCUCAUCCUAAGGAUAUUGAGACUCUGAACCUCAAAGAAGUUGAUUACAAUGUCUGCAAAGCCCGUGUUCCAGAAAUCAGGUCACCCUGCCUCAGUGGGAUGUGGUUGGUUCGUUGAAAAAAGAAUAUUUCUACAAGUACAUACGUGUAUACGGUAUACAGACCUAGCUGACAUCAAUGACAUGCUACUACAUAUAGAAAGCCCCUUGUUAUGCACAGCAAUUCA